CGGAGCUGCUACAGUGAACAUGGAGACUGCUCAGUCUCACCCAAUUUUUCUGGCUCUUCAGGAGCUGUUUAAAAGAAAAAGGCUUAGGAUAAAAAGAAACACUAUAGAGAGAUUUCUUAGUGAGUGCGAUUGCCAUUGCACCUUGGCUCGCUCUCUGGGAAUCUCGAGGUGGACAGCUAAGAAAAGCUGGGAAAGAUUUAAAUUUUGCUUGGGAACAAGGAACCUUAAAGGGACAGGCUGCGUUAGAAAUGCUACAGGAGGAAUGAUCUGAAAAGGCUGAGAGUGAGGUGGGGGAGGACUCUAAGGAAAACAAGAACAAGAAAAGAAUUUCUGCUUUUAGUGGCCAGACCUUCAACUUUUGCUCACAGAAAGAGAGUGCUCAUUAAGAGAAGUUCUUUCAGGGAGCCUGCCUUAUCUGUUGGUUUUAUUCCAAGAGAGGAGUCAGUCUCCAGCAUUAAGUUAUUUUUCUCGUUAGUCAUCAUUAACAUGGAGAGUGCCUUUGAUCCUAUCCCCACAGCAGCCAGUUCCUGCCCCUGUGGUCAAAAUGCCCCAGGUUGGGGGACAGAGAAGCCCCUCGGACUACAAAACUGCCAACAGCCAAAGGACGAGAUAAAAAUAAUAAGGACUUGAAGAUCCGAUCCUUCUCCUGAUUUAGUAGCUCUGUUCCAAGAACCAGGGGCCAUAAAACCUUUUGGCCCUUAUCUCCUGGAGCCAUAAAACAGGGACAUAUUGGGGUAAGAUGGGCUAGAAAAGGCCUCGAUGAUUUGGGCUAGCAUGAGUAAAACUUGUAAUAAAAAAGAGACAAGGUAAUGGU
rnacentral:lncRNA from 1 species